CCAAGAUUUUCAUGACACUGCAUUUCCUUACUUCAAUUACUCGGAGAGAAUCGCAAAUCAGUUUUGCACUACAAAUGCUUUUUAGUUCUGGUUUACGAGGCAAAUCCAGGAAGAUGGAACCAAGAUUUCCAUGAGACUGCAAUUCCUUACUUCAAUUACUUCGAGAGAAUCGCAAAUCAGUUUUGCACUACAAAUGCUUUUUAGUUCUGGUAAAUCUUUCAAGCGCAGUUCUGUCAACUUCGGGAGUUUGAAUUCGGUGUUUCUGAUGCUGCUUUCUUCACCCAUAUCCCCUUCUUCAUCCGAUCUUGCUCCACCUAUUAUCUCCUCCAUUUUCUCACA